rnacentral:lncRNA from 1 species
GCAUGAGGAAGGAGAAGCUCUCAGCGUCGGUGUCCUCGCCGCCGUUGCGGCUCUUCCCCUUCUUCGCCUUCUUGUCCUUGUUCCGCUGGGGGCGGUAGACGUAGUUGGGGUACAUCGCUUCGUGCUCCUUCUUCUUCUCCUUCGCGAGGUCCUCCCAGUAUUGCCUCUCCUCCGACGAGAGGCCCUUCCACUGCUGGGAGAUCGUCUUCGAGAGGUCCGCCUGGCGCUGCUUCUUGACCGGGCCGGACGAACCGUCGUCCUCCUCCUGCGCCGCCUGGCGCUCCUCGCACUUCUUCCGUCUGAAGAGAAUGAACGCAUUCUCUGGCCGCUUGAUGUAGUCGUCGUCGCCCUUCUUAGGCCGCC